UAGCCUAGUGGUUAAGGCUAUGGAUCGCCAAUCCGGAGAUGGCGGGUUUGAUUCCCGU
rnacentral:tRNA from 1 species